rnacentral:tRNA from 1 species
GCCCACGUAGUGUAGCGGCAAGCAUCCGGCCCCCUCAAGGCCGAGACCUGGGUUCGAGUCCCGGCGGGGGCG